GUCACAUAGACUCUAGAAUUUGCACUCCAGAUUCCAGUGAGGUAGCCCCCCUCUUUCCAGUCACCAAUCAGAUGGAACGAAGUCUGUUUAAGAGAUGAGCAAGCUUAUCUUGAAGACGCUAAGGAUGUUCUGGAAGCAGUUGGAAUAAGCAGCAGGAUAAACUUUACUGGCUGGACAUGGCUGCAUCUGAGAAAUCCUGUGACAUCCCACAAAAGCCGGCACAAAGUAGCAUUUAGUUAUCUAUACAAGCCAAUGCAUAGUGGGGAGCCUUAAGAAAGCCCUGAUGACAUCUCCUGCUUAAGCUGGCUCUGAGUGCUCACCACAGGAGGAAAAAGGGAGCACCCCCAUGGCAAACAGACAUGGUUUUGGGGUACUACAAAUAAAACAUCUAUGAACAAUGGAUUCAAGUUUCUGUGUGGACAUGAGUUUUCAUUUCUCUGGGAUAAAUACCAAGGAGAGAAAUUGUUGAGUCAUAUGGCAAGUGUGAGUUUAGUUUUUAAGAAACUAUCAAACUAUUUUCCCCAGCAAUGUAUGAGAUCCAGUUCUUUGU